rnacentral:misc_RNA from 1 species
AAGUCGUAACAAGGUUUCCGUAGGUGAACCUGCGGAAGGAUCAUUAAAAAAGGAUACCGGGCAACCGGUAGACCCCACCCGUGUCUCUCUACUCUUGUUGCUUUGGCAGGCCGUGGCCUCCACCGCGGGCUCCGCCUGCGUGUGCCUGCCAGAGGACCAAACUCUGAAUUUUAGUGAUGUCUGAGUACUAUAUAAUAGUUAAAACUUUCAACAACGGAUCUCUUGGUUCUG